AUAUCAAUAAGCGGAGGAAAAGAAACCAACAGGGAUUGCCCUAGUAACGGCGAGUGAAGCGGCAACAGCUCAAAUUUUAAAUCUGCCUUCGGCCCGAGUUGUAGUCUAUAGAGGAUGUCUUCUGACGCAGUGCCUUCCGAGUUCCCUGGAACGGGACGCCAUAGAGGGUGAGAGCCCCGUACGACUGACGACUUAGCCGUGUGAACGUCCUUCGAAGAGUCGAGUUGUUUGGGAUGCAGCUCAAAGCGGGUGGUAAAUUCCAUCUAAAGCUAAAUAUUGGCCAGAGACCGAUAGCGCACAAGUA
rnacentral:rRNA from 1 species